rfam:Acetivibrio ethanolgignens strain ACET-33324 ACET-33324.Scaf104, whole genome shotgun sequence.
UUGGUAUAAAGGCAAAGCAUCUGAAAGGAUGUGACGCAAAACUAUAGGGCCUAAGUUAUUAUAUGGUAGCCAGUUGCACUU